AAAAUCAAAGCCGUUGUCGGUUUCCCUUAACGGGAAUUAAUAAGGAACCAUGUGAAAAUCAUGGACUGUCGCGCAACUGUAACCCUGUUCCGAAUUUUCGGAAACAAGCUUUUUCCAAGAAUGCCAUUGUUUGCAUCCAGCAAAUGAGAAGGCGGAAAAGGUCAGGGAAGUCAGGAGACUUGCCACAACGCAUUGACAUUG
rnacentral:ncRNA from 2 species